rnacentral:rRNA from 1 species
UACGUAGGGUGCGAGCGUUGUCCGGAAUUACUGGGCGUAAAGAGCUCGUAGGUGGUUUGUCGCGUUGUUCGUGAAAACCGGGGGCUUAACCCUCGGCGUGCGGGCGAUACGGGCAGACUUGAGUACUGCAGGGGAGACUGGAAUUCCUGGUGUAGCGGUGGAAUGCGCAGAUAUCAGGAGGAACACCGGUGGCGAAGGCGGAUCUCUGGGCCUGUCCUGACGCUGAGGCGCGAAAGCUAGGGGAGCAAACGGG